GAUGAACGCUAGCUACAGGCUUAACACAUGCAAGUCGAGGGGCAUCGGGAAGAAAGCUUGCUUUCUUUGCCGGCGACCGGCGCACGGGUGAGUAACACGUAUCCAACCUGCCCUUUACUCGGGGAUAGCCUUUCGAAAGAAAGAUUAAUACCCGAUGGCGUAAUGAUUCCGCAUGGUUUCAUUAUUAAAGGAUUCCGGUAAAGGAUGGGGAUGCGUUCCAUUAGGUUGUUGGUGGGGGUAAACGUCCGACCCAACGACCGUUCCGUACGUAGUAGUAAGGGUUACGGGUUCGUAGGAAGGGAAAGGGGUAACCCCCCGGUACCCCCCAAUUAGGUUAACGGUAACGUAGGAACGAACCGGUACCCGGUAAACCCUAAACCCUUACCCGGGUAACGGGGAC
rnacentral:rRNA from 1 species